CGCUCGCGGCGGGCGUCCUGGGGGUCCGGGAAGACGUUAGUCCCGUCGUUGGGGUCUUCUCCUAACGUGACGGCGACGCCCCCUCCUCGUCGUGGGCUCGCCCUCCGUCGCUCCACCAGGUCGGUCUCAGACCUUUGACCGCGGGCCGGCCACAACCCUGACCUUCCUCCAGGCCUCCGGCCGAGCCGGCUCCGCUUGUGCCAUUGGGCCCUGGGAGCCACCGACUCUCGGAUCUUUGGAGCCAUUUUGCAGAGAUGUCACCUCUGCGAUGCCGUCUUUCCUCAACGAUUACAUUUCCUCCCCCCCGCCCCAAAAGAUUGUGAAAAUAAAGGCACAGUCUCAUUCUGA